rnacentral:rRNA from 1 species
GACGUAGGGCGCGAGCGUUGUCCGGAUUUAUUGGGCGUAAAGAGCUCGUAGGCGGCUUGUCGCGUCGACUGUGAAAACCCAUGGCUCAACCAUGCGGUCUGCAGUCGAUACGGGCAGGCUAGAAUUCGGUAGGGGAGACUGGAAUUCCUGGUGUAGCGGUGAAAUGCAUAGAUAUGACCCGGAACACCAAUUGCCGAAGGCAGCAGGGCUAAACAA